GUCAGGGCUGGGGGCGUGGUUACGAGGAGGGGAGUGGUCUCCAGGCUCCUCCCCCGGAAGUGAGGCAGGGCGUCACUUCCGCCGUCUCCCCGCCGCCGCCAUGCCGCUCGCCGUUCGCCUGGCCCGCGCCCUGCUGCGCCCCGCGGCCCGGCCCGGCCCGGCCCGGCGCGGCCUCGUCACGGGGCCUCCGCAGGAUCCGUUGGGGCCCGCGGAGACCGCCGCCGGUUUCGCCGCCAUGUUCGCCGUGUGCCUGGGCCCCGCCGCCUGGGUGCUGGCGCACCUGGAGGACUACAAGAACCGGGAGUGAGCCGGGGCCUGCACCGGGACCCGCACCGGGACCACGAACGGGACCAGCACCGGGACCACGAACGGGACCAGCGCCCCCCGGGCCCCGCGCCCCAAUAAAGGCCGCUGAUGCUC